rnacentral:rRNA from 1 species
GUGUGAGCAGCCUCGGUAAUACCGGCAGCCCACUUGAUGGCCGAUCUUAUUGGGCCUAACGCGUCCGUAGCUGGCCACGCAAGUCCAUCGGGAAAUCCACCUGCCCAACAGGUGGGCGCCCGGUAGAAACUGCGUGGCUUGGGACCGGAAGGCGCGACGGGUACGUCCGGGGUAGGAGUGAAAUCCCGUAAUCCUGGACGGACCGCCGAUGGCGAAAGCACGUCGCGAGAACGGAUCCGACAGUGAGGGACGAAAGCCAGGGUCUCGAACCGGAUUAGAAAGCCCGGUAGUCC